rnacentral:rRNA from 1 species
GGGACCAUCCUCCAAGGCUAAAUACUCCUGACUGACCGAUAGUGAACCAGUACCGUGAGGGAAAGGCGAAAAGAACCCCGGCGAGGGGAGUGAAAAAGAACCUGAAACCGUGUACGUACAAGCAGUGGGAGCACGCUUAGGCGUGUGACUGCGUACCUUUUGUAUAAUGGGUCAGCGACUUAUAUUCUGUAGCAAGGUUAACCGAAUAGGGGAGCCGAAGGGAAACCGAGUCUUAACUGGGCGUUAAGUUGCAGGGUAUAGACCCGAAACCCGGUGAUCUAGCCAUGGGCAGGUUGAAGGUUGGGUAACACUAACUGGAGGACCGAACCGACUAAUGUUGAAAAAUUAGCGGAUGACUUGUGGCUGGGGGUGAAAGGCCAAUCAAACCGGGAGAUAGCUGGUUCUCCCCGAAAGCUAUUUAGGUAGCGCCUCGUGAAUUCAUCUCCGGGGGUAGAGCACUGUUUCGGCAAGGGGGUCAUCCCGACUUACCAACCCGAUGCAAACUGCGAAUACCGGAGAAUGUUAUCACGGGAGACACACGGCGGGUGCUAACGUCCGUCGUGAAGAGGGAAACAACCCAGACCGCCAGCUAAGGUCCCAAAGUCAUGGUUAAGUGGGAAACGAUGUGGGAAGGCCCAGACAGCCAGGAUGUUGGCUUAGAAGCAGCCAUCAUUUAAAGAAAGCGUAAUAGCUCACUGGUCGAGUCGGCCUGCGCGGAAGAUGUAACGGGGCUAAACCAUGCACCGAAGCUGCGGCAGCGACGCUUAUGCGUUGUUGGGUAGGGGAGCGUUCUGUAAGCCUGUGAAGGUGUACUGUGAGGUAUGCUGGAGGUAUCAGAAGUGCGAAUGCUGACAUAAGUAACGAUAAAGCGGGUGAAAAGCCCGCUCGCCGGAAGACCAAGGGUUCCUGUCCAACGUUAAUCGGGGCAGGGUGAGUCGACCCCUAAGGCGAGGCCGAAAGGCGUAGUCGAUGGGAAACAGGUUAAUAUUCCUGUACUUGGUGUUACUGCGAAGGGGGGACGGAGAAGGCUAUGUUGGCCGGGCGACGGUUGUCCCGGUUUAAGCGUGUAGGCUGGUUUUCCAGGCAAAUCCGGAAAAUCAAGGCCGAGGCGUGAUGACGAGGCACUACGGUGCUGAAGCAACAAAUGCCCUGCUUCCAGGAAAAGCCUCUAAGCAUCAGGUAACAUCAAAUCGUACCCCAAACCGACACAGGUGGUCAGGUAGAGAAUA